rnacentral:misc_RNA from 1 species
UGGUGGCACUAGAUCUAAAACCACGCCAUCUCUUUUAAGAGUUACACGCGUUCUGCAAAAGAGUUAACAGAUCUCAAUUUCUACACUAUUUAAAGAUCUCAAUUGUAAUCAAAUUAAACAUCAAACAAUGCUAAAAGUUGAUAAACAAAGAAAUGUUGUCAACUAUGAUGAAACCCUUCAUUGAAAGUCAACCAAUAGAAUUACCAAAUAAGAUGGACAGAUGCCACGCAUCAAGAUAGGAUCUUAAAUCUACCAAUACAUGAAUACAACAAUAAACAGAUAACAACUGGUUUUCUUACUUUGCCCAAAGGCAUACUCGCACAAUGUUAGGGAAAAAAGUAAUUGGGACAAAGUAAAAAUUUAAGAAAGUUGCUACACCAUGUUUGGAAGGUGGAGAGAACAUGUUGGGAAAGGAAAGUAAGAGCAAAUAACUAAAGAAUUUUCCCCUGGCCCACAAAAUCCAAUCUAUUAAUCAAGUAAUGCAAACACAAUGUAGACUUAAAACUUAAAGACAUGACAAAAUGCAAGGGAAAAAAUGGAAGUAUCAUUGCAGGUAUUACCUUCCAACUGGGUAAACA